rnacentral:rRNA from 1 species
AGAGUUUGAUCCUGGCUCAGGAUGAACGCUGGCGGCGUGCCUAACACAUGCAAGUCGAGCGAUUCUCUUCGGAGAAGAGCGGCGGACGGGUGAGUAACGCGUGGGUAACCUGCCCUGUACACACGGAUAACAUACCGAAAGGUAUGCUAAUACGAGAUAAUAUGCUUUUAUCGCAUGGUAGAAGUAUCAAAGCUUUUGCGGUACAGGAUGGACCCGCGUCUGAUUAGCUAGUUGGUAAGGUAACGGCUUACCAAGGCGACGAUCAGUAGCCGACCUGAGAGGGUGAUCGGCCACAUUGGAACUGAGACACGGUCCAAACUCCUACGGGAGGCAGCAGUGGGGAAUAUUGCACAAUGGGCGAAAGCCUGAUGCAGCAACGCCGCGUGAGCGAUGAAGGCCUUCGGGUCGUAAAGCUCUGUCCUCAAGGAAGAUAAUGACGGUACUUGAGGAGGAAGCCCCGGCUAACUACGUGCCAGCAGCCGCGGUAAUACGUAGGGGGCUAGCGUUAUCCGGAAUUACUGGGCGUAAAGGGUGCGUAGGCGGUCUUUCAAGUCAGGAGUGAAAGGCUACGGCUCAACCGUAGUAAGCUCUUGAAACUGUAAGACUUGAGUGCAGGAGAGGAGAGUAGAAUUCCUAGUGUAGCGGUGAAAUGCGUAGAUAUUAGGAGGAAUACCAGUUGCGAAGGCGGCUCUCUGGACUGUAACUGACGCUGAGGCACGAAAGCGUGGGGAGCAAACAGGAUUAGAUACCCUGGUAGUCCACGC